AAGUUAUGGCAACUUAAUCUACCAGCAAAGAUAAAGAUCACAAAUUGGCGAGUUUUCCAGAACUUAAUUUCUACUUUUAACAAUUUACAUUACAGAAAAAUAGUUGGUUCAAUAACUUGUCCCAGAUGCUCCAAUGGAGUUGAAAAACUUAGAACAUAUUUUCCCAGAUUACUCCAAUGCAAAGGAAAUAUAGCAUGAGUGUAACACCCAUACUCGGCCUGGACGCCAAGCUGAAUAUCGAGAUGCCACACCACCGUCUCACUACUUGUUCAUCUAAAACGACAUGUUAUUUCUCAUGCAAUUUUUUCGAUCAAUAAUAACGUAGCAUUUCAUGAAUUAUAAACCAUACAUUCACUUUUUGUUGAUAAAUCAUACCAAGAAUUCAUAAAAUAGCAUAACAUAGGUAUUAAUCGUGUGUUAGGACCACUUAUCAAAAUUUCCCAAAAAUGUUACGUCGGUAUCGAUACCGUCUCUAUGAUAUCGAUAUUUUCUUUAAGUGGUAUCGAUACCACCUGGAAAACUGAUACCACACUAGUAUUCUAUUUCUCGCCAAAUUUCAAAACAUCGGAAAAUAUCGGUACCUUUAGUAAAUCGAUAGUUACACCCCGAGUAUCAAUACUCGGGUCAAUGUAUCAAUACCAAAUUGGUAUUCUGACUCCCUGCACUUUCGAAAAUAUAGAGGUACCAUUUUAAAAGCAUUAAUAUCGAUACAUCUACUUUAGGUUACAAAAAUUUAGCAUAUAGGAGCAUUUAAAUAAUUCAAACUUAGUCCCUAAACAUCAUGCUUCAUUCACCUAGCCAUAUAAGCAUCAAAAUGUCUAAACAAUAAACCCAACACCAUGUCCAAGUUCACAAGCUUCCAAACAUACACAAUAUACAAAUAAUUCCAAAUACGUCUUAACAAAACCGAUAUAAAUGUCUACCACAUUGCCUUUUUAUUCCCUAGAACUAGAAUAAGCAAAACACCUACUAUAAUGAAUAAAGAAUCGUUUGGAUCGAUCCCUCGACAGCCACACCGCUCACACUAAGAACGCAACUACUUUGCAAAGGAUAAAAUGGAGUGGAUGAGCUUAACAAGCUCAGUGAAUGCCUAGAACAACCACUACACAAACAAGUCGUCAUGCAUCAACCAAACCACAUACAACAUAUUCCCAAAGCAUCAUUAACCAAGUGUCAUAAUUCACAUAUUUAGUUAUAUUCCAUGUAUUUUUUUACACCUUAUCUAUACAAACGUUUAGGAAUACAUAUAUACAUAUAUUCCAACACAUAUCAAUCACAUUUAGUCACAGUAUAUGAUAAAUUGGCUCUUGAGUUUACGAAACUUAAAGCGGACUCUAUCACCACUUAUUGGAUACACGGAUCUCCAACACACCACACAUAGACUCGUAGAGUCAAACAUAUCCCAUAAGCGAAACAUAUAGCUAAUGCUCUCCAACACACCGCACAUAUAUAUCCCAGUGAAUGGAGUUUGGCUCAUAUUCCCUUAUCUCUCCAAAACUGUCCCUAGGCCUCAUCGCCUCAUAUAUCACAACACAUAUAUAUGAGAACCCACAAUCUUAUGAAAUGCCAACUAUAUCCAAUGGUCUCAUUAAGUCACAAGGCCAAAAUAUCCUUAGCUAAUGCUCUCUAACACACCACACAUAUAUAUCCCAGUGAAUGGAGCUUGGCUCACAUUCCCUUAUCUCUCCAAAACUGUCCCUAGGCCUCAUCGCCCCAUAUAUCAUAACACAUAUAUAUAAGAACUCACAAUCCUAUGAAAUGUCAACUAUAUCCAAUGGUCUCAUUAAGUCACAAGGCCAAAAUAUCCAUAUUGUCAUCAAAUAUUACUUACCGAUUAUCCGCACAUAUUCACUGAAUAAUAAUAUCAUUAGCACAUUAUACACACGGUUACAUUACAUGAAUGACAUGCCCUUAUAUUUACCGUUACAAUAGUCAUCAAAAUAUGUUCAUAUUUCAUCACAUCAUAAUUCUCUUUAUCACAGUUCAUAGACAUAUUUAUCACAUAUCUAGAAUAGGUAAAAAAACACUUACAUUCGGAACUUAGAGAAGGGGUUUUGACUACCUCUAAAUUCCCAAAUACACAACGAAUCAUCUACGAGCAGCGAUUCUAAAACACUCACCAAAAUAUUCGCUUUUACCAAAAAGUUGAAAGUUUAGACAUGCUUCCCUUUGCCUUUAUCUCUACUCGUUGAAGGUCCUAUCGGCUCUGACACUUCAACAAGGCAAACCACACAUAUAUUCAGUCAACAAACAAUCAAUAACUCACCUCAAACAGCCACAAACACAAGCCUAAGCUACAUUAUUUUCUAACCAAAACCUUUAGCACGACAAACUUAAAAUUUGAAUAACUCAGUCUACGCUUAAUAUUUUCACAAAAAAUGAAUUCCAUUCAUCUACAUAUUCAUCAACGACCAAUUCCCAACCUUUAAGCUACACAAAACUACACUUUUUAAGAUAUUGAAAUUUUUCGACAAGUUUUGGCCAUUACAAUAAAAAAUUAUUAAAACCUGAUAAAUACUUGACAAAAUUUCAAAAUUACUUUAGAAAGCUUCUAAUUAAGUUAAACUAAUUGAAAAACACUUUAAAACCAAGUUUUUAUCCACAAACUCGAAAUUCACCAUUAAAGAUCUGAUUUUCGGCUUUUAAUCAAAACAUGCGAUUUAACGGCUAAAAAUUAAGUUUAAAAAACUAAAUAACAUUUAAAACUAAUGGAUAGACGAUUGGUUACCUUCAACGAAAGAAAAAUAGAGAUUUGACGCGAACUUGAGAAAACCUACACUUGAGGAAGAUGAUGAAAUUGGUGAGAUUUUUGGGUAAUUUCUUGAAGAUUUGUGAAGGUUUAAUAUUUGGAAAUGAUAGGAAUUCAAAGUAUCAUAGUUUGAGAGUCAAAAAUCAAUUGAAAGAGUAAGGAAUAGCAAGUGAUGAAAAAACUAAUGAGAUAAGAAGAACAAUUCGUGAAAUUAACUGGGAAUGGGUGUUUAUUAGGUUGAUUUUGAAAAAUUGGUUUAAUUUCUUCAUAAAGACUCACAGAUUUGACCCUUUUACAAAUUAGUCCAUUUUCUAAAGUUAAAGACGUUUAAAACUCGUUUCCAAAAAUUGAAUUAACUUUAUGAAAACCAUUGUCGAAAAUAUUAUCGAGUACCAACCUUACAAAAUUCCAAACUCAUAUAGGCCAAAAUUCUUAAAAUACCCCUAAAACUCUUAGGCCCUAUUUUGGGGUGUGACAAUGAGUUAAAUAUUCAACGGCCCCUCUGAAGUCUCAAACUUAGAUUAUAAGGAGUGAUUGCCAUAUAUUUUUUCGAAUCAUUCAAAUUACCAUUGCAAGAUCAUGGCUUGUACAAUUUGGACAAUAUGGACAAUAAGAAAUAAAGCAAUUCAUGAAGGGAACAGACGGGCAAUUCAAGACACAGCCCAUUUAAUCAUUUCAUAUAUUCGAGAAUUAGAUGCAAUCAACCAAAAAUUACCUGUUAUGAGGAUGGAGACUAAAUGAUGGAGGCCGUCAGAGAUUCCUUUUGCAAAGAUUAAUUAUGAUGUUGCUUUUUAAAACCAUACAAAGAGGUCCUGUACGGGGAUUGUGGUUAAAAACUCGAAUGGUUUGGUGUUAGGAUCAAGAAUGAUACUAAAUAAUCACAUACCUGCGACUUUUGCUGUGAAGGCUUUUGCAUGCUUCCAAGCGGUUCAAAUGGGUCUUGAUUUGGGCUUUCUGAAGGUGGAGAUUGAAGGUGAUGCACUCACAGUGGUGAAAAAGCUUCAUGCAAAUAGGCAAGAGAGAUCAAAAUUUAGUGCAUAUAUAUUAUGGAUUCAAGAUCACUUACUGAGAAUUAUCGAAGAUGUAUUUUAGACAUGCACUGAGACAGGGGAACGGAGUAGCACAUCUCUUAACUACAGAAGGAAAAAGGAGAGGAGAAACGACUUAUCAGUUAGAAGAAAUACCUCUGUUUGUUGCUGAUGCAGUGGAGAGAGACCGAUGGUUGACAGACCCGCUAGAUUAGAUUAUGUUCGUCGGUUGCUUGAAAAUAGUCCCUAAAAUUUGCUUAAUCUCAAGGGACGAUAAUGAUUUAGAUAAACUCCUAUUUUCAUUGCUUUCUGAUGCU
rnacentral:lncRNA from 1 species